rnacentral:piRNA from 1 species
GGGGUACGGCCUCUGUUCGCGUCUGA